rnacentral:miRNA from 1 species
UGCCCGUACUGUGUCGGCUG